CAGUACUCGCUAGUUUGACUCUUUAGUGACAGGAAAGCUAAACAGUAUUACUCAAAUUUCGGUUCCUUAAGGUUUUGUCUUGUGCUUGUGUUAAUUUUUGUUGCGUCUCUGUGUAUUUUUUCGUCGUCUAUGUUGAUUUCUAUCACUUUUUGAAUUCAGCGAAAACGUAUCUGUGAGAGCUCUUACGGAGACGUCUCCACAGCCAUUAACGUUACAGGUAACGUUAGCUAGCUUAUGUAGUGAUAUAUAGCACGAACUGACCAGAAGGUCUUUGUUUUUGUUUUUGUUUUUUUAAACUAACUGAAACAUUAGCCAAGACAGAGACCCGUUUAAAGCUUGCUCCUGGAGAGUUGUGCCGUUUUUUAUUGUGUUGUUUCGCUGCGCCGGGAGAAGAUUUUUUUUCCACAUGGCGCAGUUCAAAGCCACAUUGACCGCUAAACCAGGACUUGAAAGAAGAAUGAGUAAUGGACUCCAUUGAGAAGGCAAUACAGACUGUGCUACCACAGCUAGAUGAAGCGAAACUUGAAAAGGAGGGCUCCGACUGGGAUUCUGGGUCUGCAAGGUCAGGGCAUGUAAGAGGCCAUAGAUCUUUAUGUCAAGUGGCAGGGAAAUGAGGAGUUCUCUCUCUAAGAAGUUUCUUAUCUUUUCUGUUUUAAAUGUUGUAUUUUGCAGUUUUUACAGUGUCCUGUUGCAUUGUUCAUGCAAAUGUUUGGUAUUUUACAUUAUAUUGCCACUGUGUUUUUAACCCUUUAAUGUCCUCACUAAGAAAAAAGCAAUGGAAAAAUUAUUUCUUUGCAUUUUUUAUUUCCUUGGGGCAAUAAUAACAAUCAAAAAAAAAAAUAUCAACAGACCCCACAGUUUUUAAAAUACAGGCCUCAACCAAACGGUUGAGAUGUCACUUCAUGGUAAACGUAUUAAAAUACAAACAAAUACCAAAACAGCAGAAAAAGUGCUAACUUUUGGAAUGCUGCAAAACAGUUUUUUCUGUUCUUUUUUUUUUCAUUCAAACACAGGAACAUUGAAAAUCUCAGGAAAACACUGCAUUUCUAACACUUCAUCUUGACACACCUCAUCUGUGUGGUGGUGCAACAGCACAAAUGUUUUUUUGGGGGGCGUUAGAGCCACUUUAUUUCUGAUGGUAUGCUUCAAAGCAUUUCUGGCUUGCAUUCAAACACAGGAAAACAUUGCAUUUCUGACACUUCCAUCUUGACACACCCUUUGGACACAGGUUGCACCGCCCGCGCUUGUCAGAGUAAAGUGGCCAAUGUCCACAGUUGUCAUAACGCACAUCUGGUUGUGGUUGUGAGGGUCUUGCAGCGUAGCGUUUCUUCUGAGGUGGUGGAGAGCAGGAUGAUGGUCGGCCAACUUUGGGUGCUGACCUGUUGACUUGCAUCAAACUGUGGGCGACUGCCAGGCGGAAUCUUUUGAGUGGCAUUGGUUUCUCAUUCAGUAGGCUGCAAUCCCUCUUGUAGACCCC